rnacentral:rRNA from 1 species
GGGUUGUGAGGUUAAGCGACUAAGCGUACACGGUGGAUGCCCUGGCAGUCAGAGGCGAUGAAGGACGUGCUAAUCUGCGAUAAGCGCCGGUAAGGUGAUAUGAACCGUUAUAACCGGCGAUUUCCGAAUGGGGAAACCCAGUGUGAUUCGUCACACUAUCAUUAACUGAAUCCAUAGGUUAAUGAGGCGAACCGGGGGAACUGAAACAUCUAAGUACCCCGAGGAAAAGAAAUCAACCGAGAUUCCCCCAGUAGCGGCGAGCGAACGGGGAGGAGCCCAGAGCCUGAAUCAGCAUGUGUGUUAGUGGAAGCGUCUGGAAAGGCGCGCGAUACAGGGUGACAGCCCCGUACACAAAAGCGCAUGUGUUGUGAGCUCGAUGAGUAGGGCGGGACACGUGGUAUCCUGUCUGAAUAUGGGGGGACCAUCCUCCAAGGCUAAAUACUCCUGACUGACCGAUAGUGAACCAGUACCGUGAGGGAAAGGCGAAAAGAACCCCGGCGAGGGGAGUGAAAAAGAAUCUGAAACCGUGUACGUACAAGCAGUGGGAGCACAGGUUUACCUGUGUGACUGCGUACCUUUUGUAUAAUGGGUCAGCGACUUAUAUUCUGUAGCAAGGUUAACCGUAUAGGGGAGCCGCAGGGAAACCGAGUCUUAAC